GUAUCUACAUGUGUGUGUGUGGUGUAUGUGUGUGACUAUGAAUAGAUGUGUAUUGUGAUAGCUUGUAUAAGUGAGUUUGGUGGGGGCGGGCACACACACACACACACGCAAAUGUGCGUAUAUAAUGCACACAGAUUUUAUGCGUGUGUAUGUGGGCGUGUACGUUAUGUAUUUGUGUGUGUGGACGUGGUUGUGUGCUGUGUGUCAUUAAGUAUCUGAUCCUGACAUCAAGCAGCAGCAGCGGCAAUAGAAAGUUGGUCACUUAGCACCAACUCUAUCAUUAGGAGAGAGUGUGGAUGGUCUCUCGUUCCCUGCUCCUUUUUCUUUCUUUUUUUUUUAUUUGAGGAAAUCACAAACGUCCCAGAGAAAAACGAAACAAAACAUACAUCUUCUCCGUAGUCAACAAGUUCGCAAAUCCGAAGAUUUUCUUCUCCAUAUCUCAUUUAUAACAUUCGGUCUGUUUCGUUCGGUCAUUGGUUUUUUUUCUUCUCCUUUUGGGUUUGCCGCCUUGCUUCAUUUCGCGACUAUCACCUGUUGUGACAGUAUAAAACAAUGGAGACAUCGCGUGAGCAAUAUGUUGAUAGAGAUGAAUGGCCACUGCCUGAUUCCACAGCAGCAACCGGAAUCAUAAUAACCACAGUAUCAUUUUUAUUUUUCCAAAUUACAGCUUUCAUUGUGGACCGCUACCUAAAGACAUCAUCUUUUCUUAACAACCCAAAACUGCACUGGCGAUGGAAAAAUGUGUUUAUUUCGUUUACUCACGCCGCUAUCGUUUCUGUUUGCUGUUUAACGAGCUUCUAUUUAACUCCAAAGCUUACAGCAGAUAUGAUCUCAACACACACCCCUUUAUCACAUGGCACAGUGGCACUAUCUGCAGGUUACUUCCUCCAUGAUAUUGUAGAUAUGGUCGUAUAUGACUGGUCCCGAAAAUCUUUAGAGCUUUUAAUCCAUCAUGUUGUGAUUCUAAUUGCUUUCUCAUUCCCUGUUCUAACAUACAAAAGCGUCGGCUACAUGCUUGUGGCGCUUCUAGUUGAGGUCAACUCCAUCUUUCUUCACUUCCGCCAGUUACUGAGAAUACAUAAAGUUGAUAAAAAGUCAUCAUUAUACAGACUUACCAGCCUUCUUAAUUUAGGUACCUUCAUCAUAUUCCGUAUUGCAGCGCUCUGCUGGAUGACUCGGUGGAUCGUCAUCAACAAAACCCAAGUGCCGUUUUUCUUUUAUGUCCUUGCAAACAUCGGCCUAACCACGACCACUGUGAUGAACAUUGUCCUCUUCUAUCGUUGUCUCAAAAGUGAUUUUAUUUGCCAUGCCAAUACAUCCACCACAAACGUGAAGCUCGAAUAGACAUGCAGCUUCUUACACAAGAAAUGAUGAUAUAUUGUUGUUGUUAAUAUUAUCAUCAUCAUCAUCAUCAUUAUUAUUAUUAUUAUUAUUAUUAUUAUUCCACGAAGGUCGACUUUGCCUUUCAUCCUUUUGAGGUCGAUAAAUUAAGUUUUAAUUGUGUACUGGGGUCACUCUAAUCAACUGGUGCCCUCCCAAAAAAUUUCAGGCUUUGUGCCUAGAGUAGAAAAGAAUAUUUUGUCCAGUCUUAAUUGAUCUCUCUUUAUUGAAUGGCAGAGUCCUUCUAUAAUGUUAAGGGACAUAACUUAAAAAGAAUAAAUACCACAAGGUAUGUUUUUUAUAGUUCAAUGCACCAGUUCAUUGGCAAUCCCUUUGGUUUAUUUUUCCUCUCAUUAAAGACAAUCUAAAAAUUUGUUCCUUUCAAUAACGAUGUAAUAUUUUCUUAUAACAAUAUAUUGUUUAAAAUAUUGGUGUACGUGUAUACAUAUAUAUAUAUAUAUAUAUUUAUAAGUUGCUGUAUUUCAGAAUGGUCAU
rnacentral:misc_RNA from 1 species